ACCAACAACUUCCUCUGUCGCCUGCUCACUUCCUGUUUCUGCGUCUGAGGGCCCAACGGUGCAGUGAUGAUUAGCUGGGCCUUUGCGUGACAAUCAAGCAGCCAGACGCUCUUAGUUUCCCCCAUUCAGACCGGAAGCAGCACUAUUGCAACGAAUCAUCUGUGAAAUCUGUCUGCAGCCUUUCAAAAACAGGAAGUGUAACUGAGAUCUGAUAAAGACCCUCUCGAUUUCAUCUAGAUCACAUGGGCAUCAGUCAUCAGGUCGUGUCCCAUGAAGGCAAAUAUUGCUCAUCUGAAAAAAAAAAGAACCAGGAUAUUUCACAAAAUGAUGCCUUUGCAAUCAAGGAUGUCAUGCACCUGCCUCAGGACUUCUCUGAACCAAAUGAGUGAUGGGCCCAACUGAAAGCAGGUCAUACCAACCGCACAACUAACCAUGGAACACACACACACUUAUACACUCACACACAGAGCCAGUUUAACAUGGAACACAAACGCUCACACUUCACACACACAUCCACUUUACCGUGGAACACUCAUUUCUCAACCUGUGGUCACAUCCCUACCCAGAAUGCACUCUGGCUGCGGUGACUCAUGACAUUCUGAUAAUCACCCAAAAACUGAAGUUCCACAGAACUUGAAUGUGUGUGUUAGUGGGGGUGUAAGGAAAGUGAUGCACGGAUUUACAAAUGUACAGAUAGAUAGAUGUAUGGAUGUACGGAUGGAUGAUGAACAAAUUAAUGUUGAAUUAUUAAUGGAUAUUAAAUGUAAUUUUCAUUUGUUUCUUAAAUUCACAUUUUUACUCCAAUUGCAAUUUCUUUAAAAAAAAAGAAAUCUUAUUAAACCUUAUGCACACUGAUACCAGUAUAUAUUAAAAUUUUAUAUUGUUUACAUAUAUUGUUUACAUAUUAUUGGAUUUAAAUAAUUGAAUUACAAAUAAUUAUGAAAGUUCUUCCAGUAACGCUAAUCGAAUGUUCAUUCAGCGUUAUCUGGUCUUUAAUAAUGUUCUCAAAACAGCACAAUAACGUUAUUUAUACAUUGUUUAUGGAACUUUUAUCUAAAACAUUUCAGUUAGACGUUUGUCUGACAUUUUUACAUUUUCACUUCUUCCUCCAGAACAUUCAGAGAACAUUCAAAAGUAACAUACCCAUAAUGUUUGCCAAAUUAUAAAAUGGAAUGUACUUUUAACAUUCAUAUAACUCCAAAAAAGCAUUUUACAUUUUUUAAAAACAUUUUGGACUUUCAGAGAACCAUAUUUUCAUAAACUAAUGGAAACAUUGGCAAAACAU